rnacentral:rRNA from 1 species
AGAGUUUGAUCAUGGCUCAGAGCGAACGCUGGCGGCAGGCCUAAUACAUGCAAGUCGAGCGCCGUAGCAAUACGGAGCGGCAGACGGGAGAGUAACACGUGGGAACGUACCCUUCAGUUCGGAACAACCCAGGGAAACUUGGGCUAAUACCGGAUACGUCCGUAAGGAGAAAGAUUUAUCGCUGAAGGAUCGGCCCGCGUCUGAUUAGCUUGUUGGUGAGGUAACGGCUCACCAAGGCGACGAUCAGUAGCUGGUCUGAGAGGAUGAUCAGCCUCACUGGGACUGAGACACGGCCCAGACUCCUACGGGAGGCAGCAGUAGGGAAUAUUGGACAAUGGGCGCAAGCCUGAUCCAGCCAUGCCGCGUGGAUGAUGAAGGCCCUAGGGUUGUAAAGUCCUUUCGGCGGGGAAGAUAAUGACGGUACCCGCAGAAGAAGCCCCGGCUAACUUCGUGCCAGCAGCCGCGGUAAUACGAAGGGGGCUAGCGUUGCUCGGAAUCACUGGGUGUAAAGCGCACGUAGGCGGCUUUUUAAGUCAGGGGUGAAAUCCUGGAGCUCAACUCCAGAACUGCCUUUGAUACUGAGAAGCUUGAGUCCGGGAGAGGUGAGUGGAACUGCGAGUGUAGAGGUGAAAUUCGUAGAUAUUCGCAAGAACACCAGUGGCGAAGGCGGCUCACUGGCCCGGUACUGACGCUGAGGUGCGAAAGCGUGGGGAGCAAACAGGAUUAGAUACCCCCGUAGUCC